GAAAAAACUUGGCUAUUAUUAUAAUAGCUUAUUCACGUUGAAUUGAGGAAUAAUCCUCGUGCCACGUGUCUACAUAACCUUUAUUUUAACCGCGGAAUAUUGGAUUUUUCCCGGUUUAAUACCACGAUUAGUGAGAAAGAGGAUAAAUAUAAAAAGUCUCUGCUCAUCAAUAUCAGCGAUAGUUAUAUAGAAAAUCGAGGAAAAUAACACAUGUUGCGAAUGAUUUGGAAAUCGUGGCCGAGGAUGAAAUCAAUGAAGUCGAUAAUGAAAACCAAGUUAAUACUGUGGCUAAUAACGCAGCUGAUAAAAAUAUUAAUGAGAAAAUAGUUGAUGAAAAUCUUCUAAAUAGUGAUGAAAAAAAUCUAAGGUA